rnacentral:rRNA from 1 species
GACAGGGGGAACUAGUGUUGUUCAGAAUGACUGGGCGUAAAGGGUAUGUAGGCGGUUUACUAAGUUAAUAGUGAAAUCCCAUUAUAUAAGUGGAAGUGCUAUUAAUACUGAUAAACUAGAGUAAAAUAGAGGAUGGUAGAAUAUGUAGUGUAGAGAUAAAAUUUGAUAAUAUUACAUGGAAUAUCAAUAGCGAAGGCAACUAUCUUGGUAUUAUACUGACGCUGAGAUACGAAAGCGUGGGGAGCAAACGGG